rnacentral:piRNA from 1 species
UACAAUCAAUGGGACCUACUCAUGGGAACU